GAUAUCGCUGUUCAGACCGACACAGCUAUUCCAUGCGAACAGUACGAGGCGCGAUGUCCGGGAUGGGCCUUGAGCGAGCGAGGAAAUAAUUUUAAAAACAAAAACCACCUCCUAUACUAAUAUUGACGCCAUUUGUUGUUAAUAGGGAUGCAGUAAAAGCUCCUUUUUCGCGCUUCCUUCAAUCGAGGAUAAAAAAAAACGCGAUACAAUUCCUAUAUUCGCGGCUAAAGAUUUCCAUGUUCGCGCAUCUAAUGGGUACAGAGGUAUAUACACGUUGAUAAAAAGGAUAUAUGGAGGAAAUAUCUAUGCUGGUAAACUCAAUGGUUUAUGUCAACUAAAGCGGGAGAAUACGGGGCUCUAACCUGACAACGUUACUAACACUAAGCCCAGCAAGAGCAGUGCUUCGCAGAAUCUACCACCGGAUCGGAAAUGCGACCCAAUGAGAAGAUCCGGCGAGAAACUCAAUGGGCUGUGUCUGAGAGUUAAUUUGCUCACCGAGCCCUUCGUCGCAAGCGACGGGUUCGACGAGAACGAUGACCGGUUCUUGAGGUACCCAAAAGCAACGAUAGCAGAUCUGGAGAUCCGAAAUAACGUGUUACCCAGUAGUGUGGGUUAACAAUACGUCUUACCACAUGUAAACGUUCAAGUAAAUUUUACAUUAACAUAAUUCAUGAAAAACAAUAUACAACUUUAUCAGCUCAUUUCUCACAGUUCAAUUAGCAUAAACUAUUUAUGCUAAUAAGAUGCUCAUUGUUGUUUUGUUCUUUCAGCUAAAAAAAACCUAUUUGUUAAUUUUUUAAAUAAAAACAAGAAUAUAUCUUAAUCGUCUAUCGGUUUUAAAGAUUUUAAUAUGUUUGCUGAUUAAAUACAAAUAAAAUGUAUAUUAGUGUGUAGUGUAGUUUGUUUUGGUACCUGUCAGCUACGGCGCAGCAUCUAUGAGCUUGUCCUCCCUUUCCGAACUUGAGAGACUGUCCUCCGAAGGCCCUCUGGUAAAUCUUUCCCUCCGGGGUGCGGGAGAAUGGCAUUCCGUAGUUGUCCAGUUCGAUUACUGCAUGAGGCGCUUCUUUAGUCAUGUAGUGAAUGGCAUCCUACGACAGACAACAUUACAAUAGUUUCUUGAACUUCAAAAGUUUAUGUUAGCCGUAUACUAUGCGUUUAAAAAUGCGGUGUGUGUAAAAUUUUUAGAUUCAGAUCGGAUAUUGUAGUUUUUUUUUUGCUUAGAUGGGUGAACGAAUUUGCGGCCCACCCGUUGUUAAGUGGUUACCGCAGUCAGUAGAUAUUAACAUCGUAAAUGCAGCCACUCACUUUGAGGCAUGAGUUCUAAACCUAUUUUUUACGGUACAACGGCUGUCGCACCAUUCAAACCGAAACGCAUUACUGAUUCACGGCAGAAAUAGGCAGGGCGGUGGUACCUACCCGUGCGGGCUCACAAGGCACCAUGCAACCAGUAAUUACGCAUUUUUCGUGGAUUUGAUUUUUAUUACAAGUACGUACCUACAUAUUUCAUUAAAAAAACCUGCCUACGGGAUUCGAACACUGGCUCCGUCGCAUCGCUCGAUACCAAUGCACCGGGCGUCUUAUCCCACAGGCCAAGGCGACUUAAAUAGCAGUUAAGUUGGGGACACAUUUAUCUUCCUUCAGAGUUAGCGUAGUCUUAUUUAUUGAAGGUAGAUUGUGUCAAUCGUUUUACGAUAUGGUAUGAGGAUACCGAGCAAAACCAAAAAUUCUAAGCACUAGCGUUUUCAUCGGUUUUCGCGAAUCGUUGGCUCUAUUAAAAUUGCUUUUACGAUUUAAGCGUGCUUUUUCUUAUUUUCAUUUCAUUAUUACGACUUACACUAAACUAAUUGUAAUUCUUAUAAAUACUACUAUACUUGACGGGUUGUUACAACGAUUUUCGUAUCGGUACUGUAGGAAGGGCUAUGAUCAUGGGUGGGAAGUUAAAACCUUGGCAAAAACCCUAUAUAUAACGUAGAUAAAUGCGAAAGUUUAAAACAAUUCGUAAGACUAAACAUGCACGAGAUUAAUCUUGUAUAUUUUCCGUUAGAUAAGGCGUAAUAAGAUAAAGAAACCUCCUACACUGACUCAGUAAACAAGAUUAUUUCCGAGGAUAAGCCGGUUUGGUCACUAGCGGCUAGAGGUGUGUCAGCGUAGUUACCGAAUAAAAUUUUAAUAAAAUUC